AUACCUUUCUCGGCCUUUUGGCUAAGAUCAAGUGUAGUAUCUGUUCUUAUCAGUUUAAUAUCUGAUAUGUGGGAUAUGUGCCCACAAUGAUAUUAAAUUUAUUUUUUGUGGGGGAGAAUCUAAUAUGGUAGCUUGCUAUCAAGGUUCUCUUGUGUCGUCCUAGCGUUGCACUAUUGCUUGGGCCUGGCGCACCCCAA
rnacentral:snRNA from 2 species